GUUCACCUUGGCAGCACAUUUCCUAAAAUUGGAACAAUAUACAGAAGAUCAGUAGAGCCCCUGUGCAAGGAUAACAUGCAAAUUCGUGAUAAGAGUGUUGUCAAA